rnacentral:rRNA from 1 species
CCUACGGGUGGCAGCAGUGAGGAAUAUUGGUCAAUGGACGAGAGUCUGAACCAGCCAAGUAGCGUGAAGGAGGACUGCCCUAUGGGUUGUAAACUUCUUGUAUAGGGGAAUAAAAUGUGGCACGGGUGGGAUGUUGUAUGUACCAUAUGAAUAAGGAUCGGCUAACUCCGUGCCAGCAGCCGCGGUAAUACGGAGGAUCCGAGCGUUAGCCGGAUUUAUGGGGUUUAAAGGGCGCGUCGGGGGAUUGUUAAGUCCGUGGUGAAAGGUGGGGGCUACACCGUAAAAGUGCCGUUGAAACGGGCAGUCUUGAGUACACUAGCGGUGGGCGGAAUUCGUGGUGUAGCGGUGCAAUGCUUAGAUAUCACGCAGAACUCCGAUUGCGAAGGCAGUUCACUGGACUGCAACUGCCACUGAGGCUCGAAAGUGUGUGUAUCAAACAGGAUUAGCUACCCCCGUAGUC